GCAGCGGUAUCGAAGUGGUCAUAACGGGGCUGACUCGAAAUCAGUUUGCAGGAAACUGCACGUGGGUUCGAAUCCCACCCGCUGCGCCA
rnacentral:tRNA from 2 species